GAAUGCUGACAUAAGUAACGAUAAAGCGGGUGAAAAGCCCGCUCGCCGGAAGACCAAGGGUUCCUGUCCAACGUUAAUCGGGGCAGGGUGAGUCGACCCCUAAGGCGAGGCCGAAAGGCGUAGUCGAUGGGAAACGGGUUAAUAUUCCCGUACUUGGUGUUACUGCGAAGGGGGGACGGAGAAGGCUAUGUUGGCCGGGCGACGGUUGUCCCGGUUUAAGCGUGUAGGCUGGUUUUCCAGGCAAAUCCGGAAAAUCAAGGCUGAGGCGUGACGACGAGGCACUACGGUGCUGAAGCAACAAAUGCCCUGCUUCCAGGAAAA
rnacentral:rRNA from 1 species